rnacentral:rRNA from 1 species
GCCUGAUGCAGCAACGCCGCGUGAGGGACGACGGCCUUCGGGUUGUAAACCUCUUUUAGCAGGGAAGAAGCGAAAGUGACGGUACCUGCAGAAAAAGCACCGGCUAACUACGUGCCAGCAGCCGCGGUAAUACGUAGGGUGCAAGCGUUGUCCGGAAUUAUUGGGCGUAAAGAGCUCGUAGGCGGUUUGUCGCGUCUGCUGUGAAAUCCCGAGGCUCAACCUCGGGCCUGCAGUGGGUACGGGCAGACUAGAGUGCGGUAGGGGAGAUUGGAAUUCCUGGUGUAGCGGUGGAAUGCGCAGAUAUCAGGAGGAACACCGAUGGCGAAGGCAGAUCUCUGGGCCGUAACUGACGCUGAGGAGCGAAAGCGUGGGGAGCGAACAGGAUUAGAUACCCUGGUAGUCCACGCCGUAAACGUUGGGAACUAGAUGUGGGGACCAUUCCACGGUCUCCGUGUCGCAGCUAACGCAUUAAGUUCCCCGCCUGGGGAGUACGGCCGCAAGGCUAAAACUCAAAGGAAUUGACGGGGGCCCGCACAAGCGGCGGAGCAUGCGGAUUAAUUCGAUGCAACGCGAAGAACCUUACCAAGGCUUGACAUAUACGAGAACGGGCCAGAAAUGGUCAACUCUUUGGACACUCG